rnacentral:rRNA from 1 species
AUUGAACGCUGGCGGCAGGCCUAACACAUGCAAGUCGAGCGGAUGAAGGGAGCUUGCUCCUGGAUUCAGCGGCGGACGGGUGAGUAAUGCCUAGGAAUCUGCCUGGUAGUGGGGGAUAACGUCCGGAAACGGGCGCUAAUACCGCAUACGUCCUGAGGGAGAAAGUGGGUGAUCUUCGGACCUCACGCUAUCAGAUGAGCCUAGGUCGGAUUAGCUAGUUGGUGGGGUAAAGGCCUACCAAGGCGACGAUCCGUAACUGGUCUGAGAGGAUGAUCAGUCACACUGGAACUGAGACACGGUCCAGACUCCUACGGGAGGCAGCAGUGGGGAAUAUUGGACGAUGGGCGAAAGCCUGAUCCAGCCAUGCCGCGUGUGUGAAGAAGGUCUUCGGAUUGUAAAGCACUUUAAGUUGGGAGGAAGGGCAGUAAGUUAAUACCUUGCUGUUUUGACGUUACCAACAGAAUAAGCACCGGCUAACUUCGUG